CCUACGGGAGGCAGCAGUGAGGAAUAUUGGUCAAUGGCCGGAAGUCUGAACCAGCCAAGCCGCGUGAAGGAUGAAUGCGCAGAGAGUCGCAGACCUCUUUUGCCGGGGGACAAACUGCCGCACUCGUCCGGUCCUGUGUGUACCCUAUGAAUAAGCAUCGGCUAACUCCGUGCCAGCAGCCGCGGUAAUACGGAGGAUGCGAGCGUUAUCCGGAUUCAUUGGGUUUAAGGGGUGCGCAGGGGGGCCUUUAAGCCGGCGGUGAAAUCGCGGGGCUCAACCCCGCCGAGCCGUCGGAACUGGGGGCCUGGAGUGCGGCGGAGGUAGGCGGAAUGCGCGGUGUAGCGGUGAAAUGCAUAGAUAUCGCGAAGAACCCCGAUUGCGAAGGCAGCGUGCCGUGCUGCAACUGACGCUGAGGCACGAAAGCGCGGGGAUCGAACAGGAUUAGAUACCCUAGUAGUC
rnacentral:rRNA from 1 species